rnacentral:rRNA from 1 species
AUUGAACGCUGGCGGCAGGCCUAACACAUGGAAGUCGAGCGGAGCGGCGGACGGGUGAGUAAUGCCUAGGAAUCUGCCUGGUAGUGGGGGAUAACGUCCGGAAACGGGCGCUAAUACCGCAUACUAUCAGAUGAGCCUAGGUCGGAUUAGCUAGUUGGUGGGGUAACGGCUCACCUAGGCGACGAUCCCUAGCUGGUCUGAGAGGAUGACCAGCCAAACGUGAACUGAGACACGGUCCAGACUCCUACGGGAGUCAGCAGUGGGGAAUAUUGCACAAUGGGCGCAAGCCGGAUGCAGCCAUGCCGCGUGUAUGAAGAAGGCCUUCGGGUUGUAAAGUACUUUCAGCGAGGAGGCGUUACUCGCAGAAGAAGCACCGGCUAACUCCGUGCCAGCAGCCGCGGUAAUAC